rnacentral:rRNA from 1 species
UGGGGAAUAUUGCACAAUGGGCGCAAGCCUGAUGCAGCCAUGCCGCGUGUGUGAAGAAGGCCUUCGGGUUGUAAAGCACUUUCAGCGGGGAGGAAGGCGUUAAGGUUAAUAACCUUGGCGAUUGACGUGACCCGCAGAAGAAGCACCGGCUAACUCCGUGCCAGCAGCCGCGGUAAUACGGAGGGUGCAAGCGUUAAUCGGAAUUACUGGGCGUAAAGCGCACGCAGGCGGUCUGUCAAGUCGGAUGUGAAAUCCCCGGGCUCAACCUGGGAACUGCAUUCGAAACUGGCAGACUAGAGUCUUGUAGAGGGGGGUAGAAUUCCAGGUGUAGCGGUGAAAUGCGUAGAGAUCUGGAGGAAUACCGGUGGCGAAGGCGGCCCCCUGGACAAAGACUGACGCUCAGGUGCGAAAGCGUGGGGAGCAAACAGG